rnacentral:rRNA from 1 species
GGUUAAGCGACUAAGCGUACACGGUGGAUGCCCUGGCAGUCAGAGGCGAUGAAGGACGUGCUAAUCUGCGAUAAGCGUCGGUAAGGUGAUAUGAACCGUUAUAACCGGCGAUUUCCGAAUGGGGAAACCCAGUGUGUUUCGACACACUAUCAUUAACUGAAUCCAUAGGUUAAUGAGGCGAACCGGGGGAACUGAAACAUCUAAGUACCCCGAGGAAAAGAAAUCAACCGAGAUUCCCCCAGUAGCGGCGAGCGAACGGGGAGCAGCCCAGAGCCUGAAUCAGUGUGUGUGUUAGUGGAAGCGUCUGGAAAGGCGCGCGAUACAGGGUGACAGCCCCGUACACAAAAAUGCACAUGCUGUGAGCUCGAUGAGUAGGGCGGGACACGUGGUAUCCUGUCUGAAUAUGGGGGGACCAUCCUCCAAGGCUAAAUACUCCUGACUGACCGAUAGUGAACCAGUACCGUGAGGGAAAGGCGAAAAGAACCCCGGCGAGGGGAGUGAAAAAGAACCUGAAACCGUGUACGUACAAGCAGUGGGAGCACGCUUAGGCGUGUGACUGCGUACCUUUUGUAUAAUGGGUCAGCGACUUAUAUUCUGUAGCAAGGUUAACCGAAUAGGGGAGCCGAAGGGAAACCGAGUCUUAACUGGGCGUUAAGUUGCAGGGUAUAGACCCGAAACCCGGUGAUCUAGCCAUGGGCAGGUUGAAGGUUGGGUAACACUAACUGGAGGACCGAACCGACUAAUGUUGAAAAAUUAGCGGAUGACUUGUGGCUGGGGGUGAAAGGCCAAUCAAACCGGGAGAUAGCUGGUUCUCCCCGAAAGCUAUUUAGGUAGCGCCUCGUGAAUUCAUCUCCGGGGGUAGAGCACUGUUUCGGCAAGGGGGUCAUCCCGACUUACCAACCCGAUGCAAACUGCGAAUACCGGAGAAUGUUAUCACGGGAGACACACGGCGGGUGCUAACGUCCGUCGUGAAGAGGGAAACAACCCAGACCGCCAGCUAAGGUCCCAAAGUCAUGGUUAAGUGGGAAACGAUGUGGGAAGGCCCAGACAGCCAGGAUGUUGGCUUAGAAGCAGCCAUCAUUUAAAGAAAGCGUAAUAGCUCACUGGUCGAGUCGGCCUGCGCGGAAGAUGUAACGGGGCUAAACCAUGCACCGAAGCUGCGGCAGCGACGCUGAUGCGUUGUUGGGUAGGGGAGCGUUCUGUAAGCCUGCGAAGGUGUGCUGUGAGGCAUGCUGGAGGUAUCAGAAGUGCGAAUGCUGACAUAAGUAACGAUAAAGCGGGUGAAAAGCCCGCUCGCCGGAAGACCAAGGGUUCCUGUCCAACGUUAAUCGGGGCAGGGUGAGUCGACCCCUAAGGCGAGGCCGAAAGGCGUAGUCGAUGGGAAACAGGUUAAUAUUCCUGUACUUGGUGUUACUGCGAAGGGGGGACGGAGAAGGCUAUGUUGGCCGGGCGACGGUUGUCCCGGUUUAAGCGUGUAGGCUGGUUUUCCAGGCAAAUCCGGAAAAUCAAGGCUGAGGCGUGAUGACGAGGCACUACGGUGCUGAAGCAACAAAUGCCCUGCUUCCAGGAAAAGCCUCUAAGCAUCAGGUAACAUCAAAUCGUACCCCAAACCGACACAGGUGGUCAGGUAGAGAAUACCAAGGCGCUUGAGAGAACUCGGGUGAAGGAACUAGGCAAAAUGGUGCCGUAACUUCGGGAGAAGGCACGCUGAUAUGUAGGUGAAGUCCCUUGCGGAUGGAGCUGAAAUCAGUCGAAGAUACCAGCUGGCUGCAACUGUUUAUUAAAAACACAGCACUGUGCAAACACGAAAGUGGACGUAUACGGUGUGACGCCUGCCCGGUGCCGGAAGGUUAAUUGAUGGGGUCAGCGCAAGCGAAGCUCUUGAUCGAAGCCCCGGUAAACGGCGGCCGUAACUAUAACGGUCCUAAGGUAGCGAAAUUCCUUGUCGGGUAAGUUCCGACCUGCACGAAUGGCGUAAUGAUGGCCAGGCUGUCUCCACCCGAGACUCAGUGAAAUUGAACUCGCUGUGAAGAUGCAGUGUACCCGCGGCAAGACGGAAAGACCCCGUGAACCUUUACUAUAGCUUGACACUGAACAUUGAGCCUUGAUGUGUAGGAUAGGUGGGAGGCUUUGAAGUGUGGACGCCAGUCUGCAUGGAGCCGACCUUGAAAUACCACCCUUUAAUGUUUGAUGUUCUAACGUGGACCCGUGAUCCGGGUUGCGGACAGUGUCUGGUGGGUAGUUUGACUGGGGCGGUCUCCUCCUAAAGAGUAACGGAGGAGCACGAAGGUUGGCUAAUCCUGGUCGGACAUCAGGAGGUUAGUGCAAUGGCAUAAGCCAGCUUGACUGCGAGCGUGACGGCGCGAGCAGGUGCGAAAGCAGGUCAUAGUGAUCCGGUGGUUCUGAAUGGAAGGGCCAUCGCUCAACGGAUAAAAGGUACUCCGGGGAUAACAGGCUGAUACCGCCCAAGAGUUCAUAUCGACGGCGGUGUUUGGCACCUCGAUGUCGGCUCAUCACAUCCUGGGGCUGAAGUAGGUCCCAAGGGUAUGGCUGUUCGCCAUUUAAAGUGGUACGCGAGCUGGGUUUAGAACGUCGUGAGACAGUUCGGUCCCUAUCUGCCGUGGGCGCUGGAGAACUGAGGGGGGCUGCUCCUAGUACGAGAGGACCGGAGUGGACGCAUCACUGGUGUUCGGGUUGUCAUGCCAAUGGCACUGCCCGGUAGCUAAAUGCGGAAGAGAUAAGUGCUGAAAGCAUCUAAGCACGAAACUUGCCCCGAGAUGAGUUCUCCCUGACUCCUUGAGAGUCCUGAAGGAACGUUGAAGACGACGACGUUGAUAGGCCGGGUGUGUAAGCGCAGCGAUGCGUUGAGCUAACCGGUACUAAUGAACCGUGAGGCUUAACCUU